rnacentral:lncRNA from 1 species
AAUGUAUUGAUGCUCGAGUGCCAAAUCAACACAAAUUGAUAAGAAAAGAUCUAACCCAUCAGGUGCCCAGUUUAGGAAAAAGAGGAAAGAAGAAGAGGAGAAACGCGCAAAAGAUAAAGGGGCACUAAUUAAAUAUUUUGGAGCACCCUCUGGCACUGGCCAGGACGAGGAGCCAUCUACCUCCUCAGCCACACAGGCAUCUUCAGAAAUGAUCUCAGAGCCUCAAGAUGAAGACCCAUUUGCUUCCACUUCUCCCCAAUAGGAUUCUUCAGAAAUGCCUAUAGCAGCAUCCCCACCAAAUCCUGCUGCUGAGGAUGAACCACUGUCUUCAGAUCCUGCUGACUGGCCUUCAGUUCUGACUGACAGAAUUCGGACACUACUAGUUUGCAG